rnacentral:rRNA from 1 species
GAUGAACGCUGGCGGCGUGCCUAAUACAUGCAAGUCGAGCGAACAGACGAGGAGCUUGCUCCUCUGACGUUAGCGGCGGACGGGUGAGUAACACGUGGAUAACCUACCUAUAAGACUGGGAUAACUUCGGGAAACCGGAGCUAAUACCGGAUAAUAUAUUUAACCGCAUGGUUCAAUAGUGAAAGACGGUUUUGCUGUCACUUAUAGAUGGAUCCGCGCCGCAUUAGCUAGUUGGUAAGGUAACGGCUUACCAAGGCAACGAUGCGUAGCCGACCUGAGAGGGUGAUCGGCCACACUAGAACUGAGACACGGUCCAGACUCCUACGGGAGGCAGCAGUAGGGAAUCUUCCGCAAUGGGCGAAAGCCUGACGGAGCAACGCAGCGUGAGUGAUGAAGGUCUUCGGAUCGUAAAACUCUGUUAUUAGGGAAGAACAAAUGUGUAAGUAACUAUGCACGUCUUGACGGUACCUAAUAAGAAAGCCACGGCUAACUACGU